GCGUUCAGUUGCGCGUCGUAGACCCGAAACCGAGUGACCUAUCCAUGAACAGGUUGAAGCAGUGGUAAAACACUGUGGAGGACCGAACCCACGCCUGUUAAAAUAGUCGGGGAUGAUUUGUGGAUAGCGGAGAAAUUCUAAUCGAACUCGGAUAUAGCUGGUUCUCCUCGAAAUAGCUUUAGGGCUAGCCUCCGAAUUUAGAUUAUUGAAGGUAGAGCACUGUAUGGGCUAGGGGACUUCACGGUUUACCGAACCUUAACAAACUUCGAAUUUCAAUUAAUUAUGUCGGGGAGUCAGACUGCGUGAGAUAAGUUUCGUAGUCAAAAGGGAAACAGCCCAGACCUACAGCUAAGGUCCCCAAAUUCAGGUUAAGUGGAAAAGGAUGUAUCGUUGCUAAAACAACCAGGAUGUUGGCUUAGAAGCAGCCACUCAUUCAAAGAGUGCGUAAUAGCUCACUGGUCGAGUGACGACGCGCCGAAGAUUAACGGGGCUAAAACCUGAUACCGAAGCUUAGGAAUGAUUUUUAAUCAUUGGUAGAGGAGCAAUGUAUGCGCGCAGAAGCCGUAUCGAAAGGGGCGGUGGAGUGCAUACAAGAGAGAAUGCCGGUAUAAGUAGCGAAAGUGAGGUGAGAAUCCUCACCAUCGAAAGUCUAAGGUUUCCUGGGGAAGGUUCGUCCCCCCAGGGUCAGUCGGGGCCUAAGUCGAGGGCGAAAGCCGUAGAUGAUGGACAGUAGGUUGAUAUUCCUGCACCGCCACUGGACGUUUUUACCGAUGCAAUGACACAGAAGGAUAGUUGAUCCCCGCGGAUGGUAAAGUGGGGUCGGCACACGAGGCCGGAGCGUAGUGAAGUACGCGCUCCGUUAAGGCAGAGUGUGAGGUUAAGCGAAAUUAAGUAGUAGUUUCAAUGAAUCCACGCUGGCGAGAAAAGUUGCUAGGGAGAAAAGUGGCGCCCGUACCGCAAACCGACACAGGUAGACGAUGAGAGAAUCAUAAGAUGAUCGGGAGAACUCUUGUUAAGGAACUCGGCAAAAUGACCCCGUAACUUCGGGAGAAGGGGUGCCACAGCGAUGUGGCCGCAGUGAAUAGUCCCAAGCAACUGUUUAUCAAAAACACAGGUCUCUGCUAAAUCGAAAGAUGAAGUAUAGGGGCUGACGCCUGCCCAGUGCUGGAAGGUUAAGGGGAGCUGUUAGCGCAAGCGAAGCGGUGAACUUAAGCCCCAGUGAACGGCGGCCGUAACUAUAACGGUCCUAAGGUAGCGAAAUUCCUUGUCAGGUAAGUUCUGACCCGCACGAAUGGCGUAAUGAUUUGGGAACUGUCUCAACAAGAGACCCGGCGAAAUUGUAGUAUACGUGAAGAUGCGUAUUAACCUGCGACUGGACGGAAAGACCCCGUAGAGCUUUACUGUAGCUUGGUAUUGAAUUUCGGCAAUGAAUGUACAGGAUAGGUGGGAGACUUGGAAGCCUCGGCGUCAGCUGAGGUGGAGUCACCCUUGGGAUACCACCCUUUUAUUGCUGGGGUUCUAACGGUGUGCCGUUAUCCGGGCACCGGACAUUGCCAGGUGGGCAGUUUGACUGGGGCGGUCGCCUCCCAAAAAGUAACGGAGGCGCCCAAAGGUUCCCUCAGAAUGGUUGGAAAUCAUUCGCAGAGUGCAAAGGCAGAAGGGAGCUUGACUGCGAGACAGACAUGUCGAGCAGAUACGAAAGUAGGGCUUAGUGAUCCGGCGGUAGAGUAUGGAAUUGCCGUCGCUUAACGGAUAAAAGUUACCUCGGGGAUAACAGGCUUAUCUCCCCCAAGAGUUCACAUCGACGGGGAGGUUUGGCACCUCGAUGUCGGCUCGUCGCAUCCUGGGGCUG
rnacentral:rRNA from 1 species